rnacentral:lncRNA from 1 species
AUUACACAAGCAGAAGUAAUGACACAUGAAAAAACAGCAGACACACCCCAGACAAAUGUUAAUUACCUAAAACUAUAUGAAGAGGCAAAAAAGGAAAAUAAAGAAAUAGAAAAAAUUGCCCAAAAUUAUGAAACAAACUGUAAUAUCGCUGUAAAUGAAAAAAUAAAAAUCGAAGAGAAGUACAAUGAACUUAAAAGUGUUUUUGAUACAAUAACAAAAAAAUGUAAAACGUUAGAAGAAAAAUGUAGUGAGUAUGAAAAAGAAGUUAAUGAAAAAAAAAAAAUACAUGAUGUUAGUGAGGAAAAGUAUCAUGAAUUAAAAAAAGGUAUAGAUUACAAAGAUAUAUUAUUAAAAGAUAUGGAAAAUGAAAUGAAUGAAAAAAUAAGUAUGAUAAAAACAGAUGUACAUAACAAAGAGGAAACUAUAACAACAUUACAAUAUGAAAUAGAAGAAUUACAAAAAAAAUUAAAAAACUCAGAAGUUUGUUAUGUUCGUAAUGAAAAUAAACUACUUAACGAUUUAUCAAAAGAAAAAGAAAUAAAUGUAAAACAAAAAACACAAAUCAGUGAGUUAGAAAAUAAAUUAAUAUAUGCAUUAACAGAAUUAGAAGAAAAAAUACAUGAAAAUGAAAUAAUAAAAAAUAGUAACAAAGAGUUAAGUGUACUAUUAAAAGGUUUAAAAGUACAAGAAGAAAAAAACAAACAAACUAUGGAUAUGUUAAAAACCAAUCUACAAAAUAAUGAAAAAGAAAAUGUAACAAAAGAAGAAAAAAUAAAAGAACAAAAUUUAAAAAUAGAUAAAUUAUUAACAAAAAUAAGUAACAACGAAAAAAUGAUAGAAAUGUUAAAAAAUGUGAAAAUAAAAAUGGAAAAUGAAAAUUUAACAUUAAAAAAAAAUUUAUUAACCACUGAAGAAAGUUUAAAACAAAUUGAAAAAAAUAGUUAUGAUACAUAUGAAAUAAAAUCUUAUUUAGACACAGUUUUAGACAAAAAUAAAAUAUUUUUAAAUGAACUAGAAAAAGAAAGAAACGAAAAAAAAUUACUUGAAAGAAAUAUAGAAAAUUUAUCUAAUAAAAUAAACAUAUUAAACGUUAGAUUAAACACAUAUAAAAAAAAAUGUGAUUUUUUUGCUAACAUAAUAAAAAAUAAUGAAAAUCAGUUUAAUAUAUAUGAAAAUAAGUUAUUAAUGUUGGAACGUUAUUAUUAUAAGAAAAAUAAAAACGGUAGUAUUUUUUUAACAAAAGAUGAGCUAACAAAAAAAGAAAACACAUUGGUAGUAGAUAUAGAAACGGAGAACAGUAGUAGUAACACACAAGUUAAAGAAAAACAAAAUGGGAUAUCUUUACAAAUGUAUGAUAUUCCCCAUAUUUAUACACAAAAAGAAGAUAUAGAUAUAUAUAAAAAAAAUGUGUAUAAAAUACAAAAGUUAAUAAAAAUUGUAAAAGAAAAAAAUUUAUUAAUAAAUGAUAAAAAUUAUAAAUUAGAAGAAUAUAAAAUACUAAAUAAACAAUUAGAAAAUAGUUUAAAUGAUUAUAAAAACGAAAUAAAAUGUUUAAAUGAAAAUAUACAUAAUUUAGAAAAAAAAAUAGAAAUAAAAGAUAUAAAAAAUAUAAUAGUCCCACCAAAAAUUGUUUUAAAUAUACCCAAAUCGACUUCUUUUGAAAACAAUUUAAAAACUGAAUUAAAAGAAUUUAUAGGCAGUUCUUCUAUUUUUUUAGAAAACACAUUUAAAUAUAUAAAUGAAAAUCCAAUUAAAAAAAACCUUCAAUCAAAAACAUUCUUUUCCUCUACUCCAUCAGAAGAAAAUAAGCAAAUUGUUGAUUCGGGUCAUGAAGGUGUAACUGUCGGUACCUCUGCCACUGCCACCGCUACUACCACUACUACUGCCACUACUACUACCACUGCUAGUGAAGACAAACAAUCGUUGAAUAGUUCAUUCGAACAUUUAACAAAUUAUUACAAUAAAGACAUUGGAGAUGUCACAGAAUAUGCUAAAAACUUUAUAUAUAAUAAUAUGAACAUUUUACCAGGUUUUAAAAAUAUAGAACGUGGUAAAACGAGGCAAAAAACUGUACAACCAACUGAACAACAUACUGAACAAAUAACCCAGUUGUUAUCAAACGAAAAAAAAAAACGUUAUAAAACACAACCGAUUUUAAAAAAAACUGAAAAAUCAAACAUUCUAAAAUAUGAAAACCUUCCAAAAGAACAAGCACUAUUAAUUAAUAAUAACCCAAAUCAAACAAAUAAUUUAACAAAUACAAAAAUGGAAGAAACGGAUUUAAAAAAUGAUACUGUUACUGUUGCUGACAGUGGUGACAUACCCAAUAGUAACAAUAGCGGUAGUAGUAACAUAUAUUUAAGCCUUUUUAUGGGAAAAAAAAAAACCAACAAAACAAAAAAUAAUAAUAAUAAUGACAUUUUAAAUGUACAAAACUUGUCACAAUUUUAUACAAACACUGAAAAUAAAAUUAAAGACUUAUUUGAUAUAAAUAAGAAGAAGGAUUCUAACAAAUUAAAGCAAAAAGAAAAUUCAGUAAAUUACGGAGGUGUAUCAUCUUAUGCUACCACAGUUGGUACUGACUUAGUUGUUA